CAGCACUGUUCGUAACCUGGUUCAGCCUCCAGUGUGAACUCUGGUUCCAUUCCAGUGCCAUAGUGACCUCCAGUAGGCAGGGGAGUAGUGCCUCCUUGUGGUGGCUCCCUGUUCACUCUCUGGGAACACGU
rnacentral:snoRNA from 1 species